rnacentral:rRNA from 1 species
CAAGCAUCAGAUUACCGGGAGGGGAGUGAAAGAGAACCUGAAACCUUGUGCCUACAAGCACCGAGAGCACGUUAAAGUGUGAUCGGGUACUUUUUGUAGAACGGUCCGGCGAGUUAAUAUUUGCAGCGAGGUUAAGGAACUGGAGUUCCGGAGCCGCAGCGAGAGCGAGUCUGAAAAGGGCGUAUGAAGUUGCAGGUAUUAGACCCGAAACCGGGUGACCUAUCCAUGAGCAGGCUGAAGCGGUGGUAAGACACCGUGGAGGGCCGCACCCACGUCUGUUGAAAAAGCCGGGGAUGACUUGUGGAUAGCGGAGAAAUUCCAAUCGAACUCGGAGAUAGCUGGUUCUCCCCGAAAUAGCUUUAGGGCUAGCGUUAUUUUAGAUUACCGGAGGUAAAGCACUGAAUGGUCUAGGGGCCGCGAGGUUACCAAAGCCUAUCAAACUCUGAAUGCCGGAUAAUUGAUGAAUAGCAGUCAGACUGUGUGAGAUAAGUCUCAUAGUCAAAAGGGAAACAGCCCAGAUCUACAGCUAAGGUCCCAAAUGAACACUAAGUGGAAAAUGAUGUGAAACUGCGAAGACAACCAGGAUGUUGGCUUAGAAGCAGCCACUCAUUCAAAGAGUGCGUAAUAGCUCACUGGUCGAGUGGUUUUGCGCAGAAAAUGUAACGGGGCUAAGUGUUCAACCGAAGCUUAGGCAUUGCAGUAAUGCAUUGGGUAGGGGAGCGUCGUAUGCGGGGCGAAGUCAGAGCGGAAGCACUGGUGGACUGCAUACGAGUGAGAAUGCCGGAAUAAGUAGCGAGAAUUAUGUGAGAAUCAUAAUGGCCGAAAAUCUAAGGUUUCUUGGGGAAGGUUCGUCCGCCCAAGGUUAGUCGGGAGCUAAGCUCAGGCCGAAAGGCGUAGGCGAUGCACAUACGGUAGAAAUUCCGUAACCACCGAACAUUUAAGCUAGAGGGACGCUUUCUUUAAGGUUAUCCCGGGCGAUGGUUGCCCCGGGCGUAAGGGACCGAAAUAUAGUAGGGAAGUAACUGGCGAGAGAGACGAGAAAAGCUCUAGUGUAUACUAAGGUGCCCGUACCGCAAACCGACACAGGUAGAUGGGAUGAGUAUUCUAAGGCCAACGGGAGAAGGGUUGUUAAGGAACUCGGCAAAUUGGCCCCGUAACUUCGGGAUAAGGGGCGCCUGCGAGAGCAGGCCGCAGUGAAAAGGCCCAAGCGACUGUUUAGCAAAAACACAGCUCUCUGCUAAAUCGAAAGAUGACGUAUAGGGGGUGACGCCUGCCCGGUGCUGGAAGGUUAAGGGGAGUGCUUAGCGCAAGCGAAGGUGCGAACUUAAGCCCCAGUAAACGGCGGCCGUAACUAUAACGGUCCUAAGGUAGCGAAAUUCCUUGUCAGGUAAGUUCUG